rnacentral:rRNA from 1 species
GACGAACGCUGGCGGCGUGCCUAAUACAUGCAAGUAGAACGCAGUUGCGAACGGGUGAGUAACGCGUAGGUAACUGCCUCAUAGCGGGGGAUAACUUUUGGAAACGAUAGCUAAUACCGCAUACUGUGAGAUUGACCUGCGUUGUAUUAGCUAGUUGGUGAGGUAAAGGCUCACCAAGGCGACGAUACAUAGCCGACCCGAGAGGGGGAACGGCCAAACGGGGACUGAGACACGGCCCAGAAUCCUAAGGGAGGCAGCAGGAGGGAAUUCUGGGGAAUGGAAGGAAGGCUGACCGGGUAACGGCGGGGGAGUGAAGAAGGUUCUCGGAACGUAAAGCUUGGGUGGUAGAGAAACGGUAACUAACCAGAAAGGGACGGCUAACUACGUGCCAGCAGCCGCGGUAAUAC